CCCAGCCUCACUGCCGCUUUGCAGUUUGAUCUCAGACUGCUGUGCUAGCAAUCAGCGAGACUCCGUGGGCGUAGGACCCCCGCUCCCCACCCCCGAGCCAGGUGUGGGAUAUAAUCUUGUGGUGCACCGUUUUUUAAGCCCGUCGGAAAAGCGCAGUAUUCGGGUGGGAGUGACCCGAUUUUCCAGGUGCCGACCGUCACCCCUUUCUUUGACUAGGAAAGGGAACUGCCUGACCCCUUGCGCUUCCCGAGUGAGGCAAUGCCUCGCCCUGCUUCGGCUCGUGCAUGGUGCGUGCACCCACUGACCUGCGCCCACUGUCUGGCAUUCCCUAGUGAGAUGAACCCGGUACCUCAGAUGGAAAUGCAGAAAUCACCCAUCUUCUGAGUCGCUCACGCUGGGAGCUGUAGACCGGAGCUGUUCCUAUUCGGCCAUCUUGGCUCCUCCCCUGACAUGAAGAGCACAAAAUUUUAAUACUCUUGCAGACAAUUCUGUUGAAUCUGCAUGAUUAUGGCAGAAUUUGUUACAAGACAAAAACUGAAAAAAACUUCCAAGUUUACAAAUAUUUUGGAAAUGUAAGGAGAUAGAUAAGAUUCGAAAGUUACAAUUUCUAUUGAAAACGUCAGUGCUCUAAAUUAUGGCACACAAGAUUUGAAUGAAUCAUAGAGUAGCCAAAUCAUGUAUCCAGAUCUUCUGGAAGACCUGUGGCAGUCUAUUGAAGAAGUGAGCAGUAGGCUUUACAGGAAUUGUGGUGCUGGUAUCUGCUUGGCUUCCAGAGACACCUCAGGAAGGUUACAAUCAUGGCGGAAGUUGAAGGGAAACAGGAACGUCAUAUGGAAAAAACCAGAGCAAGAGAGAGAGAGAACAUGGCGGGGGGGGGGGGGGCAGAGGGAGGAGCCACACACCUUUAACCCUUUUCCUGUUUAAGAAUAAAAAACCCUGCAGCUCACUGCCAA
rnacentral:lncRNA from 1 species